rnacentral:rRNA from 1 species
AUUGAACGCUGACGGCAGGCCUAACACAUGCAAGUCGAACGAGUGGCGGACGGGUGAGUCAUGUCUGGGAAACUGCUUGAUGGAGGGGGAUAACUACUGGAAACGGUAGCUAAUACCGCAUACCAUUCGCUGUGCCAAGAUGGGAGUAGCUAGUUGGUGGGGUAACGGCUCACCAAGGCGACGAUCCCUAGCUGGUCUGAGAGGAUGACCAGCCACACUGGAAAUGAGACACGGUCCAGACUCCUACGGGAGGCAGCAGUGGGGAAUAUUGCACAAUGGGCGCAAGCCUGAUACAGCCAUGCCGCGUGUAUGAAGAAGGCCUUCGGGUUGUAAAGUACUUUCAGCGGGGAGGCGUUACCCGCAGAAGAAGCACCGGCUAACUCCGUGCCAGCAGCCGCGGUAAUAC